AGCGGAGUUACCCUGGAGUUACCCUGCAAAGGGCUACCCUGUAGCUACCCUGUAGUUCCUUAAAGACAGCGGCGGAGUUGUGUUUUCCUCUGGGCUUAGUAAUUACUUCCUAGCUUUCGAGUAGCCACAUCCCUUGCCGUUAAACAUCCUUCUUCUGAAUGGUUGACCUCGGAUCAGGUAGGAAUACCCGCUGAACUUAA
rnacentral:misc_RNA from 1 species